GACAGAGGGUGCGAACGUUGUUCGGAAUUACUGGGCGUAAAGCGCAUGUAGGCGGCAGCGCAAGUCGGGCGUGAAAUCCCACGGCUCAACCGUGGAAGUGCACUCGAAACUGCGCAGCUAGAGUCCUGGAGAGGAAGGUGGAAUGCUUGGUGUAGAGGUGAAAUUCGUAGAUAUCAAGCGGAACACCGGUGGCGAAGGCGGCCUUCUGGACAGUGACUGACGCUGAGAUGCGAAAGCCAGGGGAGCGAACGGG
rnacentral:rRNA from 1 species